CCUACGGGUGGCAGCAGUCGAGAAUCAUUCACAAUGGGGGAAACCCUGAUGGUGCGACGCCGCGUGGGGGAAUGAAGGUCUUCGGAUUGUAAACCCCUGUCAUGUGGGAGCAAAUUAAAAAGAUAGUACCACAAGAGGAAGAGACGGCUAACUCUGUGCCAGCAGCCGCGGUAAUACAGAGGUCGCAAGCGUUGUUCGGAAUCACUGGGCGUAAAGCGUGCGUAGGCUGUUUCGUAAGUCGUGUGUGAAAGGCGCGGGCUCAACCCGCGGACGGCACAUGAUACUGCGAGACUAGAGUGAAGGAGGGGGAAGCGGAAUUCUCGGUAUAGCAGUGAAAUGCGUAGAUAUCGAGAGGAACACUCGUGGCGAAGGCGGGUUACUGGACAUUAACUGACGCUGAGGCACGAAGGCCAGGGGAGCGAAAGGGAUUAGAUACCCCUGUAGUC
rnacentral:rRNA from 1 species